UACGUAGGGUGCGAGCGUUAAUCGGAAUUACUGGGCGUAAAGCGUGCGCAGGCGGUUCGCAAAGUCUGAUGUGAAAGCCCCGGGCUCAACCUGGGAACUGCAUCUGUGACUGCAUCGCUGGAGUGCGGCAGAGGGGGAUGGAAUUCCGCGUGUAGCAGUGAAAUGCGUAGAUAUGCGGAGGAACACCGAUGGCGAAGGCAAUCCCCUGGGCCUGCACUGACGCUCAUGCACGAAAGCGUGGGGGGCAAACAGG
rnacentral:rRNA from 1 species